GAUGAACGCUGGCGGCGUGCCUAAUACAUGCAAGUCGAGCGAACAGACGAGGAGCUUGCUCCUCUGACGUUAGCGGCGGACGGGUGAGUAACACGUGGAUAACCUACCUAUAAGACUGGGAUAACUUCGGGAAACCGGAGCUAAUACCGGAUAAUAUCUUGAACCGCAUGGGUCAAUAGUGAAAGACGGUUUUGCUGUCACUUAUAGAUGGAUCCGAGCCGCAUUAGCUAGUUGGUAAGGUAACGGCUUACAAAGGCGACGAUGCGUAGCCGACCUGAGAGGGUGAUCGGCCACACUGGAACUGAGACACGGUCCAGACUCCUACGGGAGGCAGCAGUAGGGAAUCUUCCGCAAUGGGCGAAAGCCUGACGGAGCAACGCCGCGUGAGUGAUGAAGGUCUUCGGAUCGUAAAACUCUGUUAUUAGGGAAGAACAAAUGUGUAAGUAACUAUGCACGUCUUGACGGUACCUAAUCAGAAAGCCACGGCUAACUACGUGCCAGCCGCCGCCGUAA
rnacentral:rRNA from 1 species